CCUACGGGAGGCAGCAGUGGGGAAUAUUGCACAAUGGGGGAAACCCUGAUGCAGCGACGCCGCGUGGGCGAGGAAGUACCUCGGUAUGUAAAGCCCUAUCAGCAGGGAAGAAACAGGACAGUACCUGACUAAGAAGCCCCGGCUAACUACGUGCCAGCAGCCGCGGUAAUACGUAGGGGGCAAGCGUUAUCCGGAUUUACUGGGUGUAAAGGGAGCGUAGACGGCAUGGCAAGUCUGAUGUGAAAACCCGGGGCUCAACCCCGGUACUGCAUUGGAAACUGUCAGGCUAGAGUGUCGGAGAGGCA
rnacentral:rRNA from 1 species